GAAAUGCGAUAAGUAAUGUGAAUUGCAGAAUUCAGUGAAUCAUCGAAUCUUUGAACGCACAUUGCGCCCGCCAGUAUUCUGGCGGGCAUGCCUGUCCGAGCGUCAUUUCAACCAUCAAGCCCCCGGGCUUGUGUUGGGGACCUGCGGCUGCCCGCAGGCCCUGAAAACCAGUGGCGGGCUCGCUGUCACACCGAGCGUAGUAGCAAUCACCUCGCUCAGGGCGUGCUGCGGGUUCCGGCCGUUAAACAGCCUUACAAAACCCAAGGUUGACCUCGGAUCAGGUAAGAAGACCCGCUGAACUUAAGC
rnacentral:misc_RNA from 1 species